rnacentral:lncRNA from 1 species
AUUAGGUGUAUUUGUGAAGGUGAAUGCAAUAAAGGAAUACAUUUUUUUUCAGUGCAUCAGAGGAAGGGGCUCUAAAUACCCUCUCCUGAGGAAUUCAGCUGCAUAUCAGUGAAGGUAAAGUGGAUAUAAGAAAAAUGCCAUGUGUAUGGAGAGCAUUAGGAAAGGUCAUAUAUUUCAAGAAAGAAUAUUGUUUACAAGGAGUGUUAAUAGGUUUCAAGGGAAAUGUUAAUUUUUUUUUCCUGGCUGAAAUAGCUACUGCAAGUUUUUAAUGGUUAAUCAUUCAUUCUUGAAUUUUUAUAUUAAGCAUUUCAUAUUACUUUAUUGACUUAACUUUUAUGCUCUUCUUCAUUUUGACAGUAAAGAAUGACCAGGCAAUACUCUUUGAAAAUUGGAGACCAUUUGCAGCUGCUCUCUGCUGAGGAAAGUGAAUAAUAGGGUGCCCUCAAGGAAUUUCAAAGAGAGCAACAGGAUGAGAUGACAGCUUUUCUCAUGGCCCUGUUAAUAGUUUUUGCUAACAAGGAAAGGGGAAGGGAAUAAUUCUUUGCAAUAAUAUUGACUUCUUCUGUGAUCUUGGCAUCACCACUUGAGUGGAAGCAGGAAUGCUGGAGAAGCCAGAGCCAAACAUGAGUCUCUUCUGGCAAAUACAGGUCACAGUGAACUGUGAAUCUUUGAAGGAUGGAAUUUGGCUCACCAAACCUCUCAGUCCUGGAAUGAUGACUGCCCUAAGAAGAGAAAGAAAUGUGUACAACGACUGUCAAGCCUUGCUUUGCUCCGUAUUUGCCUGCUUUCUUCUGAUACAUGCAAGCAAAACUUCUGACACGGCUGAAGAGCUGACUGGAUCAAUCUGCGAUAGGAGAAAAGGCAUUCAUGAAGGUUUCACAGAAUGCAGUAGUUGAGGAAGUUGCUGGAAAAUCUUUGUGGGUCCGGGAGGAACAUCAGACCAGCUUUACCAUCCUAACACCUUGUCCUGCCAAAAACUCCAAAACCAUUAACUAUUGACACAUAUAACCAAGAAGAUUUAUGCAUGUGAACGCUGAAGGCAGUGGUGAAAUUCUGCGCUAGAGAACAGUUGCACAGCAGUGAUUUGUGAAACACUAUGAAGCUGCAUCCUGAGAACAGGAAAAAAAGAAUGCAUGAGCUCCGUUGCCCUGGUUUGUAGAACUGACAACUUGGGGAGCCUGUGCUGGCUGCAGCGGGUAUGUGUGCAUAGUGAGUAGAACAGCCCUUGUUUUAAUUUGUAUUGAUCAUGUACGCAGGGAUUUUCCAAGAUAAUCUAAGGGAAUACACAGCCCAAUUCAAUAAGAUAUGGUGAUUGUAUUUCCCUCAUGGUCCUUGUUAAUUUACUUUAAAAAUAUCUUUUGCUUUAGUAUAUAAAUGCUCCAGAAAAAUAUUUACAGUGAAUGGCUGCCUGAUUUCUUUUGAAAUCUACCCAAUUAACACAACACGACAAAAUAUUACAAAUUGGAAUCAUAUGCAUGAUUUUUCAGUCAUCAAUGA